AAAUUGAAGAGUUUGAUCAUGGCUCAGAUUGAACGCUGGCGGCAGGCCUAACACAUGCAAGUCGAACGGUAACAGAAAGCAGCUUGCUGCUUUGCUGACGAGUGGCGGACGGGUGAGUAAUGUCUGGGAAACUGCCUGAUGGAGGGGGAUAACUACUGGAAACGGUAGCUAAUACCGCAUAAUGUCGCAAGACCAAAGAGGGGGACCUUCGGGCCUCUUGCCAUCGGAUGUGCCCAGAUGGGAUUAGCUAGUAGGUGGGGUAACGGCUCACCUAGGCGACGAUCCCUAGCUGGUCUGAGAGGAUGACCAG
rnacentral:rRNA from 1 species